rnacentral:rRNA from 1 species
UAGGGAAUCUUCCACAAUGGACGCAAGUCUGAUGGAGCAACGCCGCGUGAGUGAAGAAGGUCUUCGGAUCGUAAAGCUCUGUUGUUGGUGAAGAAGGAUAGAGGCAGUAACUGGUCUUUAUUUGACGGUAAUCAACCAGAAAGUCACGGCUAACUACGUGCCAGCAGCCGCGGUAAUACGUAGGUGGCAAGCGUUGUCCGGAUUUAUUGGGCGUAAAGCGAGCGCAGGCGGAAUGAUAAGUCUGAUGUGAAAGCCCACGCUCAACCGUGGAACUGCAUCGGAAACUGUCAUUCUUGAGUGCAGAAGAGGAGAGUGGAACUCCAUGUGUAGCGGUGGAAUGCGUAGAUAUAUGGAAGAACACCAGUGGCGAAGGCGGCUCUCUGGUCUGCAACUGACGCUGAGGCUCGAAAGCAUGGGUAGCGAACAGGAUUAGAUACCCUGGUAGUCCAUGCCGUAAACGAUGAGCGCUAGGUGUUGGGG